AGAGUUUGAUCCUGGCUCAGAAUGAACGCUGGCGGCGUGCCUAACACAUGCAAGUCGGAUGUGCCGCAAGGUGCAUGGCAGACGGGUGAGUAACGCGUAGGGAAUCUACCUCUUUGUGGGGAAUAACGCUCCGAAAGGAGUGGUAAUACCGCAUGAGACCGAGUGCUGGGAUGCAUUCGGUGAAACCUGGGGACCGCAAGGCCUGGGGCAAGGAGAGGAUCCUGCGUCUGAUUAGCUAGUUGGCGGGGUAAUGGCCCACCAAGGCGACGAUCAGUAGCCGGCCUGAGAGGGUGAUCGGCCACACUGGAACUGAGACACGGUCCAGACUCCUACGGGAGGCAGCAGUGGGGAAUUUUGCGCAAUGGACGAAAGUCUGACGCAGCAACGCCGCGUGGGUGAUGAAGGUCUUCGGACUGUAAAACCCUGUCGUCAGGGA
rnacentral:rRNA from 1 species